AACGAACGCUGGCGGCAUGCCUAACACAUGCAAGUCGAACGAAGGCGUCGGCCUUAGUGGCGCACGGGUGCGUAACGCGUGGGAAUCUGCCCCUCGGUUCGGAAUAACAGUUAGAAAUGACUGCUAAUACCGGAUGCUGACUUCGGUACACAGAUUUAUCGCCGAGGGAUGAGCCCGCGUAAGAUUAGGUAGUUGGUGGGGUAAAGGCCUACCAAGCCGACGGUCUUUAGCUGGCCUGAGAGGAGGAUCAGCCACACUGGGACUGAGACACGGCCCAGACGCCUACGGGAGGCAGCAGUGGGGAAUAUUGGACAAUGGGCGAAAGCCUGAUCCAGCAAUGCCGCGUGAGUGAUGAAGGCCUUAGGGUUGUAAAGCUCUUUUACCAGGGAUGAUAAUGACAGUACCUGGAGAAUAAGCUCCGGCUAACUCCGUGCCAGCAGCCGCAGUAA
rnacentral:rRNA from 1 species